rnacentral:rRNA from 1 species
UGGGGAAUUUUGGACAAUGGGCGAAAGCCUGAUCCAGCAAUGCCGCGUGUGUGAAGAAGGCCUUCGGGUUGUAAAGCACUUUUGUCCGGAAAGAAAUGGCUCUGGUUAAUACCUGGGGUCGAUGACGGUACCGGAAGAAUAAGGACCGGCUAACUACGUGCCAGCAGCCGCGGUAAUACGUAGGGUCCAAGCGUUAAUCGGAAUUACUGGGCGUAAAGCGUGCGCAGGCGGUUGUGCAAGACCGAUGUGAAAUCCCCGAGCUUAACUUGGGAAUUGCAUUGGUGACUGCACGGCUAGAGUGUGUCAGAGGGGGGUAGAAUUCCACGUGUAGCAGUGAAAUGCGUAGAGAUGUGGAGGAAUACCGAUGGCGAAGGCAGCCCCCUGGGAUAACACUGACGCUCAUGCACGAAAGCGUGGGGAGCAAAACAGGAUUAGAUACCCUGGUAGUCCACGCCCUAAAACGAUGUCAACUAGUUGUUGGGGAUUCAUUUCCUUAGUAACGUAGCUAACGCGUGAAGUU